rnacentral:lncRNA from 1 species
GAAAGGAAGGAAGGAAGGAAGAAAGAAAGAAAGAAAGAAAGAAAGAAAGAAAGAAAGAAAGAAAGAAAGAAAGAAAGAAAGAAAGAAAGAAAGAAAGAAAGGCCACCCUCCAGCAUGUCUGCACUGGACCUCAGAUGCUAUGUUCCUCACCCCACCCCAAGGGUCAUCCUGCAGCCAUUGGGGCUGCUGGCCUUGCUGGUGCUGUGCCUGGUGGCCUGGGCUGACUGUCCUUGCUGAGAACCUGAGCUCUGCUGCCAGAUCCGACACUGCCCAGACUUUGAGAUGUACCCUUAAAGAACAUCAUUGAUCCUAAUUUCAGAGCAUCCUGGAUAGCACAAAAACUUCACUUGGCUAAAACACAAUAUAUGGAUAGAAUUAAUAUUGACAUAGAGCAAGAAGUUAAUUUUUCAUCACCAGAAUAUGAUGCAUUUAACAGCUUUGGUCAAAGAAACCACAGUCUUUCCAUCAUGAGAUUGAGGGAUCACAGGUAACUUUUGAUGUGGCUUGGUCUCCAAAGAACAUAGACAGAAGAAGAUGCUAUAAUUAUACUGGAAUUGCAGAUGCUUGUGACUUUCUCUUUGUCAUGUCUUAUGAUGAACAAAGUUAGAUCUGGUCAGAAUGUAUUGCAGCAGCCAAUGCUCCCUAUAAUCAGACAUUAUCAGGAUAUAGUGACUACAUCAAGAUGGUCAUUAACUCUAAGAAACUUGUACUGGGUGUUCCUUCGUAUGGUUAUGAUUAUCACUGCCUGAACCUAUUCGAGGAUCUUGUUUGUAUCACUGCAAAAGUCUCUUUCCAGGGGGGGCUCCUUGUAAUGAUGCUGCAGGAUGACAAAUGCCCUAUAAAACAAUCGUGAAACAAAUAAAUAGUUCUGUUUCUGGAAGUCAGUGGAAUAAAGAUCAGCAGGCUCCUUAUUAUAAUUAUAAAGAUCCUGCUGGCCAUUUUCAUCAAGUGUGGUAUGAUAACCCUCAGAGCAUUUCUUUAAAUGUUUGUUUUUGGUACCAGGAAUCGAACUUGGGUCCUUGUGCUUUCAAGGCAGGCAACAGAACCACUGAGCUAAGUCCCUGGCCCACCUCAGAGCAUUUCUUAAAAGGCAGCAUAUAUACAAACUAUGGCUUACGGGGCAUUGGUAUGUGGAAUGCAGACUAUCUCGACUGCUCUGGAGAAGCUGUAGCCAAACAGUAAACUGAAGAAAUGUGGAAAGUCUUAAAGCCAAAGCUGUGACAGAGAUGAAGAUCUUUUGUCAAACUAUUAAGAUAUAGAAAAUUGAUCUGUAUAAAUAAAUCUAGUGCAGUAUCAUUUUU